rnacentral:rRNA from 1 species
GUCGAGCGGUAACAGGCGUAGCAAUACGUGCUGACGAGCGGCGAACGGGUGAGUAACGCUUCGGAAUCUGCCCAAUGGUGGGGAAUAACCAGCCGAAAGGUUGGCUAAUACCGCAUGAGCCCUACGGGGGAAAGCGGGGGAUCGUAAGACCUCGCGCCGAUGGAUGAGCCGAAGCCGGAUUAGCUAGUUGGUAGGGUAACGGCCUACCAAGGCGACGAUCCGUAGCUGGUCUGAGAGGACGACCAGCCACACUGGGACUGAGACACGGCCCAGACUCCUACGGGAGGCAGCAGUGGGGAAUAUUGGACAAUGGGGGAAACCCUGAUCCAGCGACGCCGCGUGUGUGAAGAAGGCCUGCGGGUUGUAAAGCACUUUUAGUGGGGAUGAAAAGCUCAGGGAUAACACCUCUGGGUCUUGACCUAACCCACAGAAAAAGCACCGGCUAACUCUGUGCCAGCAGCCGCGGUAAUACAGAGGGUGCAAGCGUUAAUCGGAAUUACUGGGCGUAAAGCGUACGUAGACGGUUGGAUAAGUCAGAUGUGAAAGCCCCGGGCUCAACCUGGGAAUUGCAUUUGAGACUGUUCAGCUAGGGUGCGGAAGAGGGAAGCGGAAUUUCCGGUGUAGCGGUGAAAUGCGUAGAUAUCGGAAGGAACACCAGUGGCGAAAGCGGCUUCCUGGUCCAGCACCGACGUUCAGGUACGAAAGCAUGGGGAGCAAACAGGAUUAGAUACCCUG